AGCGAACGCUGGCGGCAGGCCUAACACAUGCAAGUCGAGCGCCCCGCAAGGGGAGCGGCAGACGGGAGAGUAACACGUGGGAACGUACCCUUUGGUUCGGAACAACCCAGGGAAACUUGGGCUAAUACCGGAUAAGCCCUUACGGGGAAAGAUUCAUCGCCGAAGGAUCGGCCCGCGUCUGAUUAGCUAGUUGGUGGGGUAACGGCCCACCAAGGCGACGAUCAGUAGCUGGUCUGAGAGGAUGAUCAGCCUCACUGGGACUGAGACACGGCCCAGACUCCUACGGGAGGCAGCAGUGGGGAAUAUUGGACAAUGGGCGCAAGCCUGAUCCAGCCAUGCCGCGUGGGUGAUGAAGGCCCUAGGGUUGUAAAGCCCUUUCGGCGGGGAAGAUAAUGACGGUACCCGCAGAAGAAGCCCCGGCUAACUUCGUGCCAGCCGCCGCGGUAAUAC
rnacentral:rRNA from 1 species